AACGAACGCUGGCGGCAGGCUUAACACAUGCAAGUCGAACGCCCCGCAAGGGGAGUGGCAGACGGGUGAGUAACGCGUGGGAAUCUACCCAGAUCUUCGGAACCACUGAGGGAAACUUCAGCUAAUACCGGAUACGCCCUACGGGGGAAAGAUUUAUCGGUUCUGGAUGAGCCCGCGUUGGAUUAGCUAGUUGGUGAGGUAACGGCGCACCAAGGCGACGAUCCAUAGCUGGUUUGAGAGGAUGAUCAGCCACAAUGGAACUCAGGCACGGCCCUGACUCCUACGUGAGGCAGCAGUGGGGAAUAGUGGACAAUGGGCGAAAGCCUGGUCCAGCCAUGCCGCGUGAGGGAUAAAGGCCUUAGGGUUGUAAAGCUCUUUCAGUGGGGAAGAUAAUGACGGUACCCAUAGAGGAAGCCCCGGCUAACUUCCUGCCAGCCGCCGCAGUAACAC
rnacentral:rRNA from 1 species